rnacentral:rRNA from 1 species
GUGGGGAAUCUUGCGCAAUGGGCGAAAGCCUGACGCAGCCAUGCCGCGUGGAUGAUGAAGGUCUUAGGAUUGUAAAAUCCUUUCACCGGUGAAGAUAAUGACUGUAGCCGGAGAAGAAGCCCCGGCUAACUUCGUGCCAGCAGCCGCGGUAAUACGAAGGGGGCUAGCGUUGCUCGGAUUUACUGGGCGUAAAGGGCGCGUAGGCGGACAUUUAAGUCAGGGGUGAAAUCCCGGGGCUAAACCUCGGAACUGCCUUUGAUACUGGGUGUCUUGAGUAUGAGAGAGGUGUGUGGAACUCCGAGUGUAGAGGUGAAAUUCGUAGAUAUUCGGAAGAACACCAGUGGCGAAGGCGACACACUGGCUCAUUACUGACGCUGAGGCGCGAAAGCGUGGGGAGCAAACAGGAUUAGAAACCCUGGUAGUCC